rnacentral:rRNA from 1 species
GAUGAACGCUAGCGGCAGGCCUAAUACAUGCAAGUCAAGGGGCCAGCAAUGGCACCGGCGCACGGGUGCGUAACACGUACACAACAUACCUUUAAGUGGGAGAUAGCAUCGGGAAACUGGUGGUAAUACCCCAUAAUAUUGCGAUGCGGCAUCACAUUGCAAUUAAAGUUUCGACGCUUAAAGAUUGGUGUGCGUCCGAUUAGCUAGUUGGCGGGGUAACGGCCCACCAAGGCUACGAUCGGUAGGGGGUGUGAGAGCAUGACCCCCCACAUGGGUACUGAGACACGGACCCAACUCCUACGGGAGGCAGCAGUAAGGAAUAUUGGACAAUGGACGAAAGUCUGAUCCAGCCAUGCCGCGUGCAGGAUGAAGGCGCUCAGCGUUGUAAACUUCUUUUGGAUGGGAAUAAUAAUGUCGACGUGCUCGGCACUUGAAGGUACCAUCAGAAUAAGCACCGGCUAACUCCGUGCCAGCAGCCGCGGUAAAGUG